UGAUAUGUUUGAUAUUGGGUUGUUAAAUUAUGAACCAACUGAAUGUCAAGCAUACUCUCA
rnacentral:pre_miRNA from 1 species